AUUGAACGCUGGCGGCAGGCUUAACACAUGCAAGUCGAACGAGUGGCGGACGGGUGAGUAAUGCUUGGGAAUCUGGCUUAUGGAGGGGGAUAACUACUGGAAACUGUAGCUAAUACCGCGUACCAUAGGAUGAGCCCAGGUGGGAUUAGGUAGUUGGUGGGGUAAAGGCUCACCAAGGCGACGAUCUCUAGCUGGUCUGAGAGGAUGACCAGCCACACUGGAACUGAGACACGGCCCAGACUCCUACGGGAGGCAGCAGUGGGGAAUAUUGCGCAAUGGGCGCAACCUGAUGCAGCCAUGCCGCGUGUAUGAAGAAGGCCUUCGGGUUGUAAAGUUCUUUCGGUAGGGAGGCGUUAACUACAGAAGAAGCACCGGCUAACUCCGUGCCAGCAGCCGCGGUAAUUC
rnacentral:rRNA from 1 species